AGUCAACAUGCCCAGAAAACGUGGAUAACCUCGGGAAACUGAGGAUAAACCGCGAUAGGUCACUACUUCUGGAAUGGGUAAUGACCCAAACCUAUAUGGCCCCUGGAUUGGACUGCGGCCGAUCAGGCUGUUGGUGAGGUAAUGGCCCACCAAACCUGUAACCGGUACGGGCUCUGAGAGGAGGAGCCCGGAGAUGGGCACUGAGACAAGGGCCCAGGCCCUAUGGGGCGCAGCAGGCGCGAAACCUCUGCAAUAGGCGAAAGCUUGACAGGGUUCCUCUGAGUGAUUUCCGUUAAGGAGAUCUUUUGGCACCUCUAAAAAUGGUGCAGAAUAAGGGGUGGGCAAGCCUGGUGUCAGCCGCCGCGGUAAUACCAGCACCCCGAGUGGUCGGGACGAUUAUUGGGCCUAAAGCAUCCGUAGCCGGUUCUACAAGUCUUCCGUUAAAUCCACCUGCUUAACAGAUGGGCUGCGGAGGAUACUAUGGAGCUAGGAGGCGGGAGAGGCAAGCGGUACUUAGUGGGUAGGGGUAAAAUCCGUUGAUCCAUUGAAGACCACCAGUGGCGAAGGCGGCUUGCCAGAACGCACUCGACGGUGAGGGAUGAAAGCUGGGGGAGCAAACCGGAUUAGAUACCCGGGUAGUCCCAGCUGUAAACGAUGCAGACUCGGUGAUGAAUAGGCUUCGUGCCUAUUCAGUGCCGCAGGGAAGCCGUUAAGUCUGCCGCCUGGGGAGUACGGUCGCAAGACUGAAACUUAA
rnacentral:rRNA from 1 species